CAUGAACUCUUGCAGAAACAUGAAGCCAGUGGGCUGCAGGGGUCCAUGAUAGUGGUGUGGAGACUAGAAGGUGGACGCACAUCAGUGUGCAUGACAUUUCAAGUGACACCUGUUUCUGAUUUGACCACGUCAUUUUCCACUCUCUGUAGCACAACUGAAAGCUGAAGAACGUUUUGAACUAAGUGAGUGACAAAGGCAAUUAAAAAAAGAAACUGGCACAAUUUAGAAAGGGAGAAAAAUUCUCUAAUGAGAAUAAA
rnacentral:lncRNA from 1 species